rnacentral:rRNA from 1 species
CGAGCGAACAGCACUUAUUAGAGACAUGAGCCAGCACAUGGGGAUUCUGGAUAUUUUGUUGCUAGCGAUAUGGUCUCGUACCAUCGCUAGUCUUUGCGAGCUUCUGACCUAUCAGCCAGAUAGUUAGAUAUAGGCUAACAAUGGCUUUGACGGGUAACGGGGAAUCUGGGUUCGAUUCCGGAGAGGGAGCCUGAUAAACGGCUACCACAUCUAAGGAAGGCAGCAGGCGCGGAACUUAACCAAAUACUAGCUCUGUGAGUUAGUGACGAAACAUCUUAAUGUGAGGUUCUUAACCGAGCCUUACAAUUGAAAUGAGUUUAUUGUAAAGUCUUAUUACGACAAACUACCGGAGGGCAAGCCUGGUGCCAGCAGCCGCGGUAAUUCCAGCUCCAUUAGCGUAAUCUAAUAUUGCUGCGGUUAAAGUGUUCGUAGUUGGCUUUUAUAGUCU